ensembl:lncRNA
CGGGAACCGUCUGGGGCCGGCCCUAGGCUGCGUGCACUUCCCCGGUCCAAGCCGCUCAGGUUCGGCCCUCAGGCAGCCCUCAGAGGCACAAAUGCGGCUGGGACUGCGCUUUGUGCCCUUCCCAGGUCCGAGUAGCUCAGGAGUUUGGUGAGCGCAACUGCCGUGGCUUGUCACCUUUUCCGCCGCUGCCGCUCAGCUCUCUGGGUGGACCGCUGGCGCACCCCGUGAGGCAGACUGUGACUGUCCAGCACCCCCAGAAGUCUUAGCAAAGGAGCCUGCUUGCAGUUAGGCAGUUACUCUGAGCUGAGCCAGGGUCACAUCUACAUCCCUGCUCCUGAAAUAGCUGAACUCAUCACCUCUUCAGAGGAGAAGCUUUGCAAAUGAGAGUAAAGGCUGCGGAUCUCCACAAAAGGCUUUGAAACUCUCUCCCGUGCCCUCCUGCCAGGUGUGUGGUGAUGAUGACUGCUACAGUUUGGUGCCCGUUUGAUUCAGACUCGAGAGAUGGGAUUUCUACUCACCCCUGCUUUCGUAGUUUCAGUGCAAAUGUCAACAAGAUGAAAAAUGCAACAAAUGUUGUCAUACAAUUAUGAAGAGGGUUUUAACUUCAUGAACACCUGGGAAAUGACUCAGGGAUUCCUCAAGGCUCUAUGGACUAUACUUUGAGAACGGCAGGUACAGUAGAUGAAAUUAAUGACUAAAGGUUAGGCGCUUUUUACCCUAGCUUUGCCUCAGGCUAGCUCUGCCUUUUGCAAGUCAUUUCACUCGAGCGCCACCUAUUCACUGCAAUGUAGACAGGCUGGAUUAAAUAAUCUGUCAUCUCGCUGUCAGUUCAGGAGCACUGUGGGAUGCUGAACGGUCUUUAUCAUUUACUCAUCAGUAUUAUUGCCUGUCUGUUUCUAGGAUGGCUCGCUCUUUCUGGUGCACUCUUGUCACUACAUAUGUAUGGGCACAUAUUCUCUUCCUAUCUCUUUACAAGACGGGAGGGCAACUCGCUCUCCCAUAGAGAGUUCAGUUGUGCAAGAUGGACUGAAUACUCCACCUCUACUCUAAUUGAACACAGUGCCGCAUGUCCUGAAUGAUUCUAGAUGGAGCAUUUUCAGUUAAGGGGGUGCUCUUUCUCAUGAAACCCAAGCCAGGAAAAUCA